AACGAACGCUGGCGGCAUGCCUAACACAUGCAAGUCGAACGAGACCUUCGGGUCUAGUGGCGCACGGGUGCGUAACGCGUGGGAACCUGCCCUUAGGUUCGGAAUAACUCCCCGAAAGGGGUGCUAAUACCGGAUAAUUUCUUCGGACCAAAGAUUUUUCGCCUUUGGAUGGGCCGGGGUUGGAUUAGCCUGUUGGUAGGGUAAAAGCCUAUUAAGGCUACGAUCCAUAGCUGGUCUAAGAGGAUGAUCAGCCACACUGGGACUGAGACACGGCCGAGACUCCUACGGGAGGCAGCAGUGGGGAAUAUUGGACAAUGGGCGAAAGCCUGAUCCAGCAAUGCCGCGUGAGUGAUGAAGGCCUUAGGGUUGUAAAGCUCUUUUACCCGGGAUGAUAAUGACGGUACCGGGAGAAUAAGCUCCGGCUAACUCCGUG
rnacentral:rRNA from 1 species